rnacentral:rRNA from 1 species
UAGAGAAUCUUCCACAAUGGGCGAAAGCCUGAUGGAGCAACGCCGCGUGUGUGAUGAAGGGUUUCGGCUCGUAAAACACUGUUGUAAGAGAAGAAUGACAUUGAGAGUAACUGUUCAAUGUGUGACGGUAUCUUACCAGAAAGGAACGGCUAAAUACGUGCCAC